UACGGGGGGGGCAAGCGUUGUUCGGAAUUACUGGGCGUAAAGGGCGCGUAGGCGGCCUGCUAAGUCGGACGUGAAAUCCCCCGGCUCAACCGGGGAACUGCGUCCGAUACUGGUGGGCUUGAAUCCGGGAGAGGGAUGCGGAAUUCCAGGUGUAGCGGUGAAAUGCGUAGAUAUCUGGAGGAACACCAGCGGCGAAGGCGGCUUUCUGGUCCGAUUCUGACGCUGAGGCGCGAAAGCGUGGGGAGCGAUCCGG
rnacentral:rRNA from 1 species